rnacentral:tRNA from 1 species
GCCGGGGUGCCUGAGAGGACAAAGGGCCGGCCUUGAGAGCCGGUGGCCUUGUGGCCGCGUGGGUUCGAAUCCCACCCCCGGCG